rnacentral:rRNA from 1 species
CAGUCGCCACGGUAAUACGUAGGGUGCAAGCGUUAAUCGGAAUUACUGGGCGUAAAGCGUGCGCAGGCGGUUCUAUAAGACAGAUGUGAAAUCCCCGGGCUCAACCUGGGAACUGCAUUUGUGACUGUAGAGCUGGAGUGCGGCAGAGGGGGAUGGAAUUCCGCGUGUAGCAGUGAAAUGCGUAGAUAUGCGGAGGAACACCGAUGGCGAAGGCAAUCCCCUGGGCCUGCACUGACGCUCAUGCACGAAAGCGUGGGGAGCAAACAGGAUUAGAUACCCCUGUAGUCCCUGUCUCUUAUAC